rnacentral:rRNA from 1 species
AGUGAACGCUGGCGGUAGGCCUAACACAUGCAAGUCGAACGGCAGCACAGGAGAGCUUGCUCUCUGGGUGGCGAGCGGCGGACGGGUGAGUAAUGCAUAGGAAUCUGCCUUGUAGUGGGGGAUAACCCGGGGAAACUCGGGCUAAUACCGCAUAAUCUCUACGGAGCAAAGUGGGGGACCGUAAGGCCUCACGCUAAAAGAUGAGCCUAUGUUGGAUUAGCUAGUUGGUAGGGUAAAGGCCUACCAAGGCAACGAUCCAUAGCUGGUCUGAGAGGAUGAUCAGCCACACUGGGACUGAGACACGGCCCAGACUCCUACGGGAGGCAGCAGUGGGGAAUAUUGGACAAUGGGCGAAAGCCUGAUCCAGCAACGCCGUGUGUGUGAAGAAGGCCUUCGGGUUGUAAAGCACUUUUAGUUGGGAAGAAAAGCUCAAGGCUAAUAUUCUUGAGUGAUGACGUUACCAACAGAAAAAGCACUGGCUAACUCUGUGCCAGCAGCCGCCGUAAAAC